GCACUCGCCUCGCCCCCAGCGUUUACCUCCUCCCUCCUCCCACCGAAGAAUCUUUGAGUCCUCGUCCUACCUUGAGCCUCACCUGCCUCAUCCGAGGAUUUUUCCCCGAAUCUCUCGACGUCCAAUGGCAGAAAAACCAAGAGGAAGUGACCCAAGGGGUAGAAACUGGAACUCCUCGACGGGAAAACGGCGACGACGUUUCCUAUUUCCUCUACAGUCGAUUGGAGGUGGAAAGAGGAGAUUGGGAAAAAGGAACCACCUACGUUUGUAUGGUGGUCCAUGAAGGGUUAUCCAUGAGGUUUGUCCAGAGGAGUAUCCACAAGCUCCCUG